GGAUUUAUACAGUUGUUCCUGGAAUUGGUUUUGAAAGCACUAGACAAUAAAAACUUGAUUGCAGGACUGCAGCUGCUUGUCCUGGAGGGAAUGAAAUCACUCUCUGUUUUUGUAAAGGUGGCUAACCUGAAGGUAGAAGCCACUGCUUGGAAUAUUUUGCAAAUUCACAAUUCUGUUUGUUGAUUCCAUAUUAAACAGAAUAACCAAGCAUGCUGAAGGGAAAAAAAAAAUCAGCGUUCUAAUUAAGGAGCACCUGCCCUUGGAACAGAUUAUGCUCCGAGCCACAUUGGACAAGGACUUAUUGGA